CCUAGUUCCUUCACCUUCUCUCUCCCACUCACGCCUCACACCGCACCGCCCGACCCCCCAAUACCCCUCACCUUCUUUCGCCGUCGACGCCAGCCACCAGCGUUGUGUCGGCCGGCCACCCGCCACCGACCGACCUCCCCCUGCAUCUAGCCCCCCUGACAUCCCGCAGCGCCCCGCCCCACCACGCCCCAACUCGCUCCCAGACUCGCCGUCACCCUCAACGCCAGCCAGUGUGGCUGCCUCCUUCCCCGUGCCGCACUAACCCCCCACUGCACCGGCGAGGGAUUGAAGCAGGCUCGCCUCCCCCGUCAUCAGAUCCGAGAGGCCUCGACCACUACGCGCCGACCCCGCCACGGAUCUGGUGAGAUCCACCGUCACCUCUUCUCCAGCGCCCUGAUGUGUCGUGCCCCCGCCCCCCGGUGCUUCCCCGGUUACGGAUCCGGCUGGGUCCAGCCCCUAGCCACCUUCCUCGUGCCCCAGGACGGGCCGCAAUCGGCGCCGCGGUGGUGCCCACUCCACCGACCAGCGCGAGGUGCUCACCCGGCGUGGUAGCCGCCAAGGCUUCCCCUCCUACGGAUCCGGCGGCCAUGGCCUCCGCUGGCUCCUCUGAUGCUUCUCGCUAUGCAGUUCGACACAGCUCCGAUGGCUCUUCAUCCACGGAUUCGGCCGUCCCCCGACCACCGGACUACUGAUGGCAAGGUCCUCCGGUGAGAUCUCCUCCGACGGCCUGCACUUCACAGCUGCUCCCGCGUGUGUGCAGUUCACGAAGAGUGCGCGUGCAGUGUCUUUGGCGUCGCGGCGCCGCUCUCUUCUUCAUCCCCAUGCUGCCGCCAGUACCUCCCCAUGCUGUCGUCGGAUCUGGGCGCCUCCAUGCGGCGACCUCCCUCCCCAAGCCCAUCGCGACGCCCAACCACGGGCUCCUCUUGCCUUUCCUAGGACGCCGACAGGCGGGAUCCCUGGAUCGACGCGCUCCGGCAACAAGUAGCUUCGGCCCCCUGGUUCCUGUUGCAGUUCGCCAGCAUGAUGAUAUGCGCCCUGUUGGUGCUCUCGUGCAGUUCAGGUGCAGGUGGAGUCAAGAUCUUCCCACCGACCCAACCCUGUCUCCUUCCACCUCCCCCAUCUUGCUGGGAGUCUGAGGACAAGCCCCGCGCGCCACAGUGCAGCUGGACGACAACCUUUCGGAACUACGAGCAAGACGCCAGCGAGCUGCAUGCCGGCACCUGCAGAACCACAUGCUACAGUCUAGUAGACUGCAUAGCGACUAUGCCCUCUUCAUCGUUUGUACACCCAGAGACGAGAGACUGAGGCAUCUCAUGCUCUUCCCGCCCCGCGCAUGCAGUACAUUUUUUCAUGGGAAAGUUGGGCGACGCAGUGCACUCCAUCCAUGUUUUGCAUUUUUUUCGAGAAUUCUUUUUGAAGUUCACUCAAUUUGUGUAAAAAAGAAUAUGUUUCAUCACCCCUAUGUAUGAAGUGCACUUUGUUUCGUGUGUUUUAAAAAAACAGUCGGUUACAUCAACA